rnacentral:rRNA from 1 species
UACGUAGGGGGCAAGCGUUGUCCGGAUUUAUUGGGCGUAAAGGGUGCGUAGGCGGUUCCGCAAGUCCUGUGUGAAAGCCCCGGGCUCAACCUGGGAAUGGCAAUGGAUACUGGCAAGCUAGAGUGCGGUAGAGGGUAGUGGAAUUCCCGGUGUAGCGGUGAAAUGCGUAGAGAUCGGGAGGAACACCAGUGGCGAAGGCGGCUACCUGGACCAGCACUGACACUGAGGCACGAAAGCGUGGGGAGCAAACAGG